rnacentral:rRNA from 1 species
GCCCCGGUAAACGGCGGCCGUAACUAUAACGGUCCUAAGGUAGCGAAAUUCCUUGUCGGGUAAGUUCCGACCUGCACGAAUGGCGUAACGAUGGCCACACUGUCUCCACCCGAGACUCAGUGAAAUUGAAAUCGCUGUGAAGAUGCAGUGUACCCGCGGCUAGACGGAAAGACCCCGUGAACCUUUACUAUAGUUUUGCACUGGACUUUGAUGAUGACUGUGUAGGAUAGGUGGGAGGCUGUGAAGUGAGGACGCUAGUUCUCAUGGAGCCGCCCUUGAAAUACCACCCUGUUGUUAUUGAGGUUCUAACUUGGUCCAGUAAUCCUGGAUGAGGACAGUGUAUGAUGGGUAGUUUGACUGGGGCGGUCUCCUCCCAAAGAGUAACGGAGGAGCACAAAGGUACCCUCGGUACGGUCGGACAUCGUACCAAGAGUGUAAAGGCAAAAGGGUGCUUGACUGCGAGAGUGACGGCUCGAGCAGGAACGAAAGUUGGUCUUAGUGAUCCGGUGGUUCUGAAUGGAAGGGCCAUCGCUCAACGGAUAAAAGGUACUCCGGGGAUAACAGGCUGAUACCGCCCAAGAGUUCAUAUCGACGGCGGUGUUUGGCACCUCGAUGUCGGCUCAUCACAUCCUGGGGCUGAAGCAGGUCCCAAGGGUAUGGCUGUUCGCCAUUUAAAGUGGUACGCGAGCUGGGUUUAGAACGUCGUGAGACAGUUCGGUCCCUAUCUGCCGUGGGCGUAGGAAAAUUGAGAGGAGCUGCUCCUAGUACGAGAGGACCGGAGUGGACGAACCUCUGGUGCACCGGUUGUCACGCCAGUGGCAUGGCCGGGUAGCUAAGUUCGGACGGGAUAACCGCUGAAAGCAUCUAAGCGGGAAGCCUCCCUCAAGAUGAGUUUUCCCAUGAAGCCCGUUGAAGACUACGACGUUGAUAGGCAAGGUGUGGAAGCGCAGUAAUGCGUGAAGCUAACUUGUACUAAUUGGCUGAUUGUCUUGACCAU